GAUCCUGGCUCAGGAUGAACGCUAGCUACAGGCUUAACACAUGCAAGUCGAGGGGCAGCGGGAUUGAAGCUUGCUUCAAUUGCCGGCGACCGGCGCACGGGUGAGUAACGNGUAUCCAACCUUCCGUACACUCAGGGAUAGCCUUUCGAAAGAAAGAUUAAUACCUGAUGGUAUGAUGAGAUUGCAUGAUAGCAUCAUUAAAGAUUUAUCGGUGUACGAUGGGGAUGCG
rnacentral:rRNA from 1 species